GGGUCAGUAGGUUGGUCGUGCCACCGGUACGUACUGGUCUCACUGAUUCCUCCUUCCUGAAGAACCGUAAUGCCAUUAAUUUGGUGUUGCGGGGAAACAAGACCGUUACUUUGAAAAAAUUAGAGUGUUUAAAGCAAGCUAACGCUUGAAUACAUUAGCAUGGAAUAAUGAAAUAGGACGAUCGAUCCUAUUUUGUUGGUUUCUAGGAUUGACGUA
rnacentral:rRNA from 1 species